AAGACUCUCUAACACUCCUUACUAAGACAGCGCCGCCUGCCGGGUGACGCUUUCAGCUCCCAGAAACGAGGAUUUUCAGCUGCGUAGCUGACUGAGGUUAACUGACUGGACCGAGUGGAGCGGCGACUGGAGUCACGACUGAAACGGUCAGAGUCUGCUUUUAAAAGAUGUUUCUCAUCAGAAAUCAUCUGAAGCUGAGCAACUGGAACAUCCUCUCUUUGGGCCUCAUUCAGUACGGUGGCAGUCCAUAUCAUUCUCAACACUCAACUGUGCUCUUACCCAAGUGGCCUCAUCCUGGUGCUUCUUUCAUUACACUGAACAUCAUUGUCUGAACAUCAGCUAUGUGUGUGAGCUGGGUGCCACGCUGGAGUUCAU